GCCUUGUGGUUCAGGACAACAUUGGGAAACCGAUGCUAAUACUGGAUAAGCCCUUACGGGGAAAGUUUUAAUGCCAUAAGAUGAGCCCGCAUUUGAUUAGUUAGUUGGUGAGGUAAUGGCUCACCAAGACAAUGAUCAAUAGCUGAUCUGAGAGGAUGAUCAGCCACACUGGGACUGAGACACGGCCCAGACUCCUACGGGAGGCAGCAGUGGGGAAUCUUGCACAAUGGAGGAAACUCUGAUGCAGCGAUGCCGCGUGAGUGAAGAAGGCCUUUGGGUUGUAAAGCUCUUUUGUAGGGGAAGAUAAUGACUGUACCCUAAGAAUAAGGUCCGGCUAACUUCGUGCCAGCAGCCGCGGUAAUACGAAGGGACCUAGCGUAGUUCGGAAUUACUGGGCGUAAAGCGCGCGUAGGCCGUUGAGUUAGUUAAUUGUGAAAUCCCAAAGCUUAACUUUGGAACUGCAAUUAAAACUGCUCGACUAGAGUUUGAUAGAGGAAAGCGGAAUACAUAGUGUAGAGGUGAAAUUCGUAGAUAUUAUGUAGAACACCAGUUGCGAAGGCGGCUUUCUGGAUCAACACUGACGCUGAGGCGCGAAAGUAUGGGUAGCAAAGAGGAUUAGAUACCCUCGUAGUCCAUACCAUAAACGAUGAUUGCUAGAUGUUGGAAAUUUAUUUUCAGUAUCGCAGCUAACGCAUUAAGCAAUCCGCCUGGGGAGUACGACCGCAAGGUUAAAACUCAAAUGAAUUGACGGGGACCCGCACAAGCGGUGGAGCAUGUGGUUUAAUUCGAAGAUACGCGCAGAACCUUACCAACCCUUGACAUGUCUGUCGCGAGUUUAGGAAACUAGACUUUUCGGUUCGGCCGGACAGAACACAGGUGCUGCAUGGCUGUCGUCAGCUCGUGUCGUGAGAUGUUGGGUUAAGUCCCGCAACGAGCGCAACCCUCACUUUUAGUUGCCAUCAUUAAGUUGGGCACUCUGAAAGAACUGCCAGUGAUAAGCUGGAGGAAGGUGGGGAUGACGUCAAGUCCUCAUGGCCCUUACGUGUUGGGCUACACACGUGCUACAAUGGUAUCUACAACAGGAAGCAAGACUGCGAGGUCAAGCAAAUCCUUAAAAGAUACCUCAGUUCGGAUUGCACUCUGCAACUCGAGUGCAUGAAGCUGGAAUUACUAGUAAUCGUGGAUCAGCGUGCCACGGUGAAUGCGUUCCCGGGUCUUGUACACACCGCCCGUCACACCAUGGGAGUUGGUUCUACCUUAAGGCAAGGUUUCAAACCCUUGACCACGGUAUAGUCAGCGACUGGGGUGAAGUCGUAACAAGGUAGCCGUA
rnacentral:rRNA from 1 species